UACGUAGGGUGCAAGCGUUAAUCGGAAUUACUGGGCGUAAAGCGUGCGCAGGCGGUUUCGUAAGUCUGUCGUGAAAUCCCCGGGCUUAACCUGGGAAUGGCGAUGGAGACUGCGAGGCUAGAGUUUGGCAGAGGGGGGUAGAAUUCCACGUGUAGCGGUGAAAUGCGUACAUAUCUGGAGGAACACCGGUGGCGAAGGCGGCAUCCUGGACCGACACUGACACUGAGGAGCGAAAGCCAGGGGAGCAAACGGG
rnacentral:rRNA from 1 species